UCCCUUUAUCUCUUUUUCACUCUUUAUUUUCUCUCUUCUCUCUCAUUUUCCUCUCUAUAUUUCUUCGAAGAACAACAAAGCAAGAAGAAGAAGAAGAAGAAGAAGGCAAAAGAAGCAAUUUUGUUUGAGGGGAAUGUUGUCUGGCUCGAGGUCACUUCGAUCCAUAAGUUUUUUUCUCUCUCUCAAAAUCCCAUCUUUUAUUUGGUUUUAAUUUCAAAGCGAUUACGACAAAUCGACUCAUUAGAAACGAAGUGUCGUCGGACCAGGCUUCAUUCCCCCCACAAAUUUUGCUUCAAUUAUUACACCAAAAAAAAAAAAAAAACCCCAAAUCGAUUUUCUUUCAUGGGGUUGUUGAUUUUGGUCUCCUCUUCUCGAUCUACAGGUAAAGUUUAAAUCUUUUUGUGUUUUUUUUUUUGGUCAAAUUUAAGGAAAAUUAUUUGAACCUCGGAUUCAGUUUUUUGAGAUGGGGUUUUUGAAAAAAAUAAUGAAAAAAAAACAAAACAAAACAAAAGAUUUAGAUUUAGAUUCUGUUUGAGGCAGGAACAGAUUGGGGUAAUGAUGGUGUUAUUUUGACUGUCUUUUUUUAGAUCUCUUUUCUGACCAAAGAGUGAAAAUAUCAUCAUUACAUUUUGGUUGUGUUUUUGUUGUUGUUUCUUUUUUUUUUUUUUUUUUUUUUUUUUUUUUUUUUAAAUUUCUCUUUCAUGAAUCAAGAUUGUGUGAAUGAGAGAGAAAGAUCUAAACUUUCUCUUCUAAACUCUGAUUUUCUUUCUUUCUUUCUUUUACAAUCAUGGCAUUUUCAAUCUUCUUUGUCUCUUUCUUCAUUUCUUUCAUUAGGGUUUAUAUUCAAUCUACCAAAUUUCAACACAUUUAUUAUUAAAAAAUUUCAAACCUUUUUUUCUUAGAUCUAUAUAUUAUGCCUUUGUUUUAUGUUGAAAUAUUUUUUUUCCUAACUUGUUUUAUGGUUUUGUGGAGUUACUGUUUGUUUUUAAGCCUUUACAUCUGAGAAUUGCAGCCUUCAAACUGAAGUUCAUUCCUGUUCAUUGAAAGGGAUAAUAUUUUUUUCUUUUCUCGAAGAUCUUCUCAAAGUUGAGCAAGAUUCUGGUCUUGUUUAUUUUUUAUGGUUAUGCCAUUUGAAUAAAAGAAUAUGUGUUGAAAACCACUUGUAAAAAAUGAUAUGUUAGGCUUUGUGUGGAGACAAAACUCCACCACCAAGAAUAUAUAUGUUUUUGCAUUGGUAAAA